GCCUAACACAUGCAAGUCGAACGCGAAAAUUCCUUCGGGAAUGAGUAGAGUGGCGGACGGGUGAGUAACGCGUGGGAAUCUACCUGGUAGCGGGGGAUAACUCGGGGAAACUCGAGCUAAUACCGCAUACGCCCUACGGGGGAAAGGAGGGGAUCUUCGGACCUUUCACUAUCAGAUGAGCCCGCGUUAGAUUAGCUUGUUGGUGAGGUAAUGGCUCACCA
rnacentral:rRNA from 1 species